AACGAACGCUGGCGGCAUGCCUAACACAUGCAAGUCGAACGAGACCUUCGGGUCUAGUGGCGCACGGGUGCGUAACGCGUGGGAACCUGCCCUUAGGUUCGGAAUAACUCCCCGAAAGGGGUGCUAAUACCGGAUAAUGUCUUCGGACCAAAGAUUUAUCGCCUUUGGAUGGGCCCGCGUUGGAUUAGCUAGUUGGUAGGGUAAAAGCCUACCAAGGCGACGAUCCAUAGCUGGUCUGAGAGGAUGAUCAGCCACACUGGGACUGAGACACGGCCCAGACUCCUACGGGAGGCAGCAGUGGGGAAUAUUGGACAAUGGGCGAAAGCCUGAUCCAGCAAUGCCGCGUGAGUGAUGAAGGCCUUAGGGUUGUAAAGCUCUUUGACCCGGGAUGAUAAUGACAGUACCGGGAGAAUAAGCUCCGGCUAACUCC
rnacentral:rRNA from 1 species